CCCUUAGAUGUCCUGGGCCGCACGCGUGCUACACUGACGCAUACAGCGAGCACUUUCCAGUUCCGAGAGGCUACUGGUAAUCAUCAACAUGCGUCGUGAUGGGGAUAGAUCUUUGGAAUUCUGGAUCUUGAACGAGGAAUGCCUAGUAAUCGCAGGUCAUUAGCCUGCGAUGAUUAAGUCCCUGCCCUUUGUACACACCGCCCGUCGCUACUACCGAUUUCGAGUGGUCAGGUGAAUCUUUCGGACUGUGGGCGCCCUUGAGGUGUUCGCGGAAAGUCAGGUAAAUCUUAUCACUUAGAGGAAGUAAAAGUCGUAACA
rnacentral:rRNA from 1 species